rnacentral:rRNA from 1 species
UAAAGCUCUGACCUUACGGGACGAGCGCAUUUAUUAGAACAAAACCAAUCGGGUUUCGGCCCGUGCGUUGGUGACUCUGAAUAACUCUGCCGAUCGCAUGGUCUCGCACCGGCGACGUAUCUUUCAAGUGUCUGCCUUAUCAACUUUCGAUGGUAGUUUAUGUGCCUACCAUGGUUGUAACGGGUAACGGAGAAUAAGGGUUCGACUCCGGAGAGGGAGCCUGAGAAACGGCUACCACAUCCAAGGAAGGCAGCAGGCGCGCAAAUUACCCACUCUCGGCACGAGGAGGUAGUGACGAAAAAUAACGAGAUGGAUCUCUUUGAGGCCCAUUAUCGGAAUGAGAACAAUUCAAAUCCUUUAACGAGGAUCUAGCGGAGGGCAAGUCUGGUGCCAGCAGCCGCGGUAAUUCCAGCUCCGCAGGUGUAUAUCUAUGCUGCUGCGGUUAAAAAGCUCGUAGUUGGAUCUGCGUGCUCGGAACUGGUUGGCUCACUGAGUUCAAACUGGUCUCCGGCGCUUUAUUUGCUGGUUUUCCCUUGAUGCUCUUAACCGGGUGUCUCGGGUGGCUAGCGUGUUUACUUUGAAAAAAUUAGAGUGCUCAAUACAGGCGCAAAGCCUUGAAUAGUGGUGCAUGGAAUAAUAGAAUAGGACCUCGGCUCUAUUUUGUUGGUUUUCGGAACACGAGGUAAUGAUUAAGAGGGACAGACGGGGGCAUUCGUAUUGCGACGUUAGAGGUGAAAUUCUUGGAUCGUCGCAAGACGGACGACUGCGAAAGCAUUUGCCAAGAAUGUUUUCAUUAAUCAAGAACGAAAGUUAGAGGUUCGAAGGCGAUCAGAUACCGCCCUAGUUCUAACCGUAAACGAUGCCAACUAGCGAUUCGCAGGCGUUAAACAACGACCUUGCGGGCAGCUUCCCGGAAACGAAAGUGUUCCGGUUCCGGGGGAAGUAUGGUUGCAAAGCUGAAACUUAAAGGAAUUGACGGAAGGGCACCACCAGGAGUGGAGCCUGCGGCUUAAUUUGACCCAACACGGGAAAACUCACCCGGCCCGGACACCGUAAGGAUUGACAGAUUGAGAGCUCUUUCUUGAUUCGGUGGGUGGUGGUGCAUGGCCGUUCUUAGUUGGUGGAGCGAUUUGUCUGGUUUAUUCCGAUAACGAACGAGACUCUGGCCUACUAAAUAGUGGGCGGAUUCUUUCUGUCCGCAACACUUCUUAGAGGGACAAGCGGUGUUCAGCCGCACGAGAUUGAGCAAUAACAGGUCUGUGAUGCCCUUAGAUGUCCGGGGCUGCACGCGCGCUACACUGAAGGAAUCAGCGUGCUUUCUGACCUUGCCCGAAAGGGCUGGGUAACCCGAUGAAAA